rnacentral:rRNA from 1 species
AGGGAAUCUUCCACAAUGGACGAAAGUCUGAUGGAGCAACGCCGCGUGAGUGAAGAAGGUUUUCGGAUCGUAAAGCUCUGUUGUUGGUGAAGAAGGAUAGAGGCAGUAACUGGUCUUUAUUUGACGGUAAUCAACCAGAAAGUCACGGCUAACUACGUGCCAGCAGCCGCGGUAAUACGUAGGUGGCAAGCGUUGUCCGGAUUUAUUGGGCGUAAAGCGAGCGCAGGCGGAAUGAUAAGUCUGAUGUGAAAGCCCACGGCUCAACCGUGGAACUGCAUCGGAAACUGUCAUUCUUGAGUGCAGAAGAGGAGAGUGGAACUCCAUGUGUAGCGGUGGAAUGCGUAGAUAUAUGGAAGAACACCAGUGGCGAAGGCGGCUCUCUGGUCUGCAACUGACGCUGAGGCUCGAAAGCAUGGGUAGCGAACAGGAUUAGAUACCCUGGUAGUCCAUGCCGUAAACGAUGAGCGCUAGGUGUUGGGGACUUUCCGGUCCUCAGUGCCGCAGCAAACGCAUUAAGCGCUCCGCCUGGGGAGUACGACCGCAAGGUUGAAGC